rnacentral:pre_miRNA from 1 species
AAAGUACUCCCUCCGUCCCAAAAUUUUUGUCUUAAAUUUGUCUAGAUACGGAUGUAUCUAACACUAAAAUGUAACUAUAUACAUCCGUAUUUAGAUAAAUCUAAGACAAGAAUUUUGGAACGGAGGAAGUAUCUG